CCUACGGGCGGCAGCAGUGAGGAAUAUUGGUCAAUGGCCGGGAGGCUGAACCAGCCAAGUCGCGUGAGGGAAGACUGCCCUACGGGUUGUAAACCUCUUUUGUCAGGGAGUAAGGUGCAGGUCGGGACCUUCUUUGAGAGUACCUUAUGAAUAAGCAUCGGCUAACUCCGUGCCAGCAGCCGCGGUAAUACGGAGGAUCCGAGCGUUAUCCGGAUUUAUUGGGUUUAAAGGGUGCGCAGGGGGAGGUACAAGUCAGCGGGAAAAUCGCGGGGCUCAACCCCACACCGCCGUUGAAACUGGGUGCCUUGAGUGCGCGAAGGGUAGGCGGAAUGCGUGGUGUAGCGGUGAAAUGCAUAGAUACCACGAAGAACUCCGAUUGCGAAGGCAGCCUACCG
rnacentral:rRNA from 1 species